rnacentral:tRNA from 1 species
AGAAUAUUAGUUAUAUAAAUUAAAACAAUCCAUUUGCAAUGGAUAGAAUCUUAACAAAGAAGAAUAUUUUA